ACCAACGAUUGUAUCACGUAAGAUUUACUGGGAUCUCGUUCGAUCACCAAAGUCAAGCACAGUCAGUAUUACUUGGAUGGGCGACUGCUUGAGAAUACCGUGAGUUGUUGGUA
rnacentral:rRNA from 1 species